rnacentral:lncRNA from 1 species
AAAUUAGGUGCAAAGGUUUGAAGGACACGAGUCAUUUCUUCAUCGACACACACUAUCGGGGUAUCUGGCUUUUCAUUAACUUGUAAGACUACCUGAAAUCUCAGAUGUUAGAGAAACAGGCAGUCGAAAACAAAAGUUGUAAAUCUUGAAACAGAUGCGAGCAAAAAAGAAGCUACCAUGUGUAAUUCUGGUUGGCUCAUGUUAAUAACUCACUCGUGUGCAGAAUCCUUGUCAGGUUUCUGAUUACAAUAAAAUCAGACCGACCGGGCAGCAUAGCAGAGUAAAAUAAUUCAAUUUUUUCUUCCAAGAAAAAGAAAAAAAAUAAAGCAAAAGUUAGAACAUAUUAAGCAGCAAUUAGAUUGAUACACUAUAUAGGUCUGGAUCAUGUAAGUUCAGCACCUCAAGUAGCUACUAAAGAACACUGGG